rnacentral:rRNA from 1 species
CAUGGGCAGGUUGAAGGUUGGGUAACACUAACUGGAGGACCGAACCGACUAAUGUUGAAAAAUUAGCGGAUGACUUGUGGCUGGGGGUGAAAGGCCAAUCAAACCGGGAGAUAGCUGGUUCUCCCCGAAAGCUAUUUAGGUAGCGCCUCGUGAAUUCAUCUUCGGGGGUAGAGCACUGUUUCGGCUAGGGGGUCAUCCCGACUUACCAACCCGAUGCAAACUACGAAUACCGAAGAAUGUUAUCACGGGAGACACACGGCGGGUGCUAACGUCCGUCGUGAAGAGGGAAACAACCCAGACCGCCAGCUAAGGUCCCAAAGUCAUGGUUAAGUGGGAAACGAUGUGGGAAGGCACAGACAGCCAGGAUGUUGGCUUAGAAGCAGCCAUCAUUUAAAGAAAGCGUAAUAGCUCACUGGUCGAGUCGGCCUGCGCGGAAGAUGUAACGGGGCUAAACCAUGCACCGAAGCUGCGGCAGCGACACUAUGUGUUGUUGGGUAGGGGAGCGUUCUGUAAGCCUGCGAAGGUGACCUGUGAGGGUUGCUGGAGGUAUCAGAAGUGCGAAUGCUGACAUAAGUAACGAUAAAGCGGGUGAAAAGCCCGCUCGCCGGAAGACCAAGGGUUCCUGUCCAACGUUAAUCGGGGCAGGGUGAGUCGACCCCUAAGGCGAGGCCGAAAGGCGUAGUCGAUGGGAAACAGGUUAAUAUUCCUGUACUUGGUGUUACUGCGAAGGGGGGACGGAGAAGGCUAUGUUAGCCGGGCGACGGUUGUCCCGGUUUAAGCAUGUAGGCUG